UACGUAGGGGGCAAGCGUUGUCCGGAAUCAUUGGGCGUAAAGAGCGUGUAGGCGGCCAGAUAAGUCCGCUGUGAAAACUCGAGGCUCAACUUCGAGCUGUCGGUGGAAACUAUUUGGCUAGAGUCCGGAAGAGGAGAGUGGAAUUCCUGGUGUAGCGGUGAAAUGCGCAGAUAUCAGGAAGAACACCCGUGGCGAAGGCGGCUCUCUGGGACGGUACUGACGCUGAGACGCGAAAGCGUGGGGAGCAAACAGG
rnacentral:rRNA from 1 species